rnacentral:lncRNA from 1 species
CAGAAAUUAGUUGUCUCUCUUUCUUUGUUCCAGCCCAAGCUUCUCAUUAUAAAGAUGAAAAAUCUCAGACCAAAAGACAGGAUGUGCCUCGCUCAAGAUCGUGAUCACCUAGUGGCUGAGCCAGAACAGAGUCCUGGUUGGUGUCUCCAAGCACAACUUGUCUCCCUCUGUCCCACCCAGGACACUGCUUUCUGUGUCCAGUUCCUUCCUUGUCUAAUGUUACACUCUGAAAGUGUGACUGGCCUGUCUCUCACUCUCAGAUCUUCAAGGAAAGACCUCAGUAGAGGCCAUCCUAGUCCACGUGUUCAAAGGUAUCAUGCAAGCUCCAGCCCAUGCGAAGGGGAAAAGAGGCUUCCUUUCAAGGAUAGAAGCAGAAGUUGAAUACAUUCAUUCUCUUCACAGCCCCCAGUCAUGAUUUAGUCUUGUUAUGUUCACAACUGCAAGGUAAGGUGGGGAAAUAUUGACUUUGGUGGGGGAGAAACAUGCCUACCUGAAACUGGAAGUGCUGUCUCACUAAGGAAAAGCAAAUGGAUGUAGGAGAUUUAGCUGCCUGUCACAGCACCCAAACCACUAGUCACAGGUGAUGGUAAAAAGGAGACUAAGGUCAGGAUGAAAGGGAAAGAGAAGGUAAGAGGGAAGGUGAGUAUGAUCAA